rnacentral:rRNA from 1 species
CGGAUUGUAGUCUGCAACCCGACUACAUGAAGCUGGAAUCGCUAGUAAUCGCGAAUCAGAAUGUCGCGGUGAAUACGUUCCCGGGUCUUGUACACACCGCCCGUCACACCAUGGGAGUCGGAAAUGCCCGAAGUCAGUGACCCAACCGUAAGGAGGGAGCUGCCGAAGGUGGAGCCGGUAACUGGGGUGAAGUCGUAACAAGGUAGC